CCAGCACCACCCCCCGCGCCUUCCAGCACCCCCACCCCACCCCGCCCCGCCAGCUCCCAGCACCCGCCCACCCAACCCACGCCAGCUCCCAGCACCCCCCUCCCCCCACCCCAGCCCCGCGGAGAUCAAAGACCCCGGGGAGACCCGUCACCCCACCCGGACGACGUGGCCACUUAGAGCGGCGGGUGCGUCCAGGAGAAGGAGAUUCAAGUCGAUGGCCGAGCCUGACCUGGUCGCGGGUAAAAGGAAGCAGCAAACAGCCAGGUGCCAGGUGACCAGGUGCCGCCUGACCGCUCACCAGACUGAACCCUCGUCCCGCCCCACCACCGCCACCCGCACCCCAAAUCUACCGCACCCUUUUUGGAUUCCCCAUUCCCGAGCACAUUUUCUCAAGACUUAAAACCCCCAAAGAAAGGAUAAACUGAGGCCAGACCAAAUCCCAGCGAGGUCCAGGGAGCGAGAGGAGAUUAUUUCCUUUUGUAACCUCUGUCUUCCAUAAUGAUGAAUGACAUUGAGGUUUCCCAGUAAAUACUCAGGCUGAAAGCAACAUUGUGCUUCUUCUCAGAGACCAAGACUUUCUGUCUCUCUCUCCGGAGUAUUUCGCAAAUUCAGGGGCCAAAAACACACAAACAAACAAAACCAAAACGAAGCGGAGGGCUCCCCUGGGGGACUGAAGCGGCAGCGAGGCUGGCAGGGGCCUGGACACAGCCCCCCCAACCCCCACCCCGCACGGUGGGUCACUGUGGUCGUCGUGCCGCGGGCUCUAGGCCCGAGUCCUGACCUCAGAUUCCCCUGGCCUGCUGUAGUGGGAGAAUGAAGCGUUGAUGCUGGUCGAUUCCCUGAGGUCGUGGUUUGAAGGUGGGGUUAAUGAGCAUUAACACGUUAAAGUCCGGGGAAUGAACACUGGUGAGAAAGCUCUUCAAAGGGAAUGCGCGAUUUAAUAGGAUUCUGAACUAGGUGGCCCGCGGAUGCAUUUCAGGAAGUAUGCAAACUCCUACACAUUGUUUGCAGUGGCUUUCUUCUUUCCUAUUUGUGUGUGUUUGGCCAAGAGAGUUUACAGAGUUCAUGGGACUCUCAGAGUUGGAUCCCAGUAAGAGUCGGCAGGAUGCAGAGCCGGGAGAUCCGUGUGUCCCCAAGGCUGGUGGGGCCCAGAUUGUACCAUCUCUGGACGCUCCUGCUCUGAGCUGCCCUCGGGCCCAGCUUGCUGUGCUGUCUCAGGGGUAGGACAGAGUGUAGUUUUUAAAGUGUCCAAAACUGACUGUCACACAAAUACAGAAUGAAAAAGAUUUAUUAACUCAUUAAAGAGGGACCAGAAACUUGAU
ensembl:lncRNA